rnacentral:rRNA from 1 species
UACAGAGGUCUCAAGCGUUGUUCGGAUUCAUUGGGCGUAAAGGGUGCGUAGGUGGCGCCGUAAGUCGGGUGUGAAAUUUCGGAGUUUAACUCCGAAACUGCAUUCGAUACUGCGGUGCUUGAGGACUGGAGAGGAGACUGGAAUUCAUGGUGUAGCAGUGAAAUGCGUAGAGAUCAUGAGGAAGACCAGUGGCGAAGGCGGGUCUCUGGACAGUUCCUGACACUGAGGCACGAAGGCCAGGGGAGCAAACGGG